rnacentral:rRNA from 1 species
CAGCCGCCACGGUAAUACGUAGGGUGCAAGCGUUAAUCGGAAUUACUGGGCGUAAAGCGUGCGCAGGCGGUUAUAUAAGACAGAUGUGAAAUCCCCGGGCUCAACCUGGGAACUGCAUUUGUGACUGUAUAGCUAGAGUACGGCAGAGGGGGAUGGAAUUCCGCGUGUAGCAGUGAAAUGCGUAGAUAUGCGGAGGAACACCGAUGGCGAAGGCAAUCCCCUGGGCCUGUACUGACGCUCAUGCACGAAAGCGUGGGGAGCAAACAGGAUUAGAUACCCCCGUAGUCCCUGUCUCUUAUAC